CAGCCGCCGCACUCGAGGAUCAACCGAGACCCUCCUGGCCUCCUGUCUUCGACGGCAUCUUCGUCCCGUCCCUCGGCAUUGAAGAUUGGGCAAGCGGUGGUGGAAGGAUCUAAUAGAGACUUGCAUGGCUGCAUCUCUCCUCAAGCACGAGCAUCCCUGAGGUUGUAGCAACAAUUUCUAUGUCGUUUUCGUCAAUAACCAGACGCUAUUCCCCUUAUCU